rnacentral:rRNA from 1 species
AGCAGCCGCGGUAAUUCCAGCUCCAAUAGCGUAUAUUAAAGUUGUUGCAGUUAAAAAGCUCGUAGUUGAAUUUCGGGAUUGACGUGAUGGUCAUGCCUUAAGGGGUAUGAACUGUUGCUGUUGAUUUCUCACCUUCUGGAGAAACUUGAUGUCCUUUAUUGGGUGUCUUGCGGAUCCAGGACCUUUACCUUGAAAAAAUUAGAGUGUUUAAAGCAGGCAUUUUUGCUCGAAUACAUUAGCAUGGAAUAAUAGAAUAGGACGGCAUGGUUCUAUUUUGUUGGUUUCUAGGAUCACCGUAAUGAUUAAUAGGGAUAGUUGGGGGCAUUAGUAUUCAAUUGUCAGAGGUGAAAUUCUUGGAUUUAUUGAAGACUAACUACUGCGAAAGCAUUUGCCAAGGAUGUUUUCAUUAAUCAAGAACGAAAGUUAGGGGAUCGAAGACGAUCAGAUACCGUCGUAGUCUUAACCAUAAACUAUGCCGACUAGGAAUCAGACGAUGUUAAUUUUUAAUGACUCGUUUGGA